rnacentral:rRNA from 1 species
CCUACGGGUGGCUGCAGUGGGGAAUAUUGGACAAUGGGCGCAAGCCUGAUCCAGCAAUGCCGCGUGUGUGAAGAAGGCCUGCGGGUUGUAAAGCACUUUAAGCAGGAAAGAAGGGGUGAAAGUUAAUACCUUUCAUCAUUGACGUUACCUGCAGAAUAAGCACCGGCUAACUCCGUGCCAGCAGCCGCGGUAAUACGGAGGGUGCGUACGUUAAUCGGAAUUACCGUAGGCAAUUCGCUCAGUGGCGGGUGAAAGCCCUGGGCUUAACCUGGGAACUGCGGUGGAUACUGUCGGGCUAGAGUGUGGUAGAGGGGAGUGGAAUUUCCGGUGUAGCAGUGAAAUGCGUAGAGAUCGGAAGGAACACCAGUGGCGAAGGCGGCUCCCUGGACUAACACUGACGCUGAGGUGCGAAAGCGUGGGGAGCAAACAGGAUUAGAUACCCCGGUAGUC